ACAGGGGGCGACCAACUCACCCACAAACCCUAAUCUUGCAAUUUUCACCAAAUUGAGGGCUCCCAUCUAGUCUAAAUCGAUUUCCAAGCACGAAUUCGUGAUCACCUCGUUGAAGGGGUCAUAAGGUAAAGCAUCCGGAUCGUCAAGUGGACAAGCCAGAAGUGAUACACGUUUGAAGGGCACACUUUGAAGGUGACUAUGGUGAACUUACGGAUGGCGAUAAAGCAAAUGUCCAAGAACCGAACACGAUUUUUGAAGCUUUCGCUAU